rnacentral:rRNA from 1 species
UGGUGGAGUGAUUUGUCUGCUUAAUAGCGAUAACGAACGAGACCUUAACCUGCUAAAUAGCCCGCGCCGCUCAGGCGGCACGCUGGCUUCUUAGAGGGACUAUCGGCUCAAGCCGAUGGAAGUUUGAGGCAAUAACA